UGUUUCGUGUAAUUGGUUUGUUAUUGACUGUGGGGUGUACCUUGGCUACUGAAGGUCCAGUUAGAUGGUUGGAUAAUUCGUGUGUUAUUGAGACAAGCCAGGGAACGAUUGAUUUAACACCUCUAGGAAAUACAGAUAAUACUCCCAGAUUUAAAGACCUACAAGGGACCACUGAUCAUUUGUAUUCUUAUUCCUGGAAUCCAUGUUUACCAUUUAAUGAGGGCACGUGUUCAAAUGUUGCAAUCUGUCAGUCAGGCCCAGGUCAGCAGUUUUUCUUUAUCCUGGGUGUGCAAGAUAAAAUAAGUUAUGAAGAUGGAACUGAUCAGAGUGGAUCAUUAAUCUACCAUACUUAUGGAGAUAUCGAAAGAACGACAACUAUACGUCUGACAUGCGACCCAACACAAGAAGGUAACUUAAUAGUUACCGGUGAACAACCAUACCAGUCAGGAAAAUACUUUUUUGAAUUAAGAAGUCAAUAUGCCUGCUUUCAAGAACCAACGACAACUUUUUUACCGCCAACAUCAGGUGUUGUCACUGCUAGUAUGAGUCCAUCUCCUAAUCCAGAUAUUUACAAUGCGAAAACUAUUGUAUGGUUACUCUUCUCUAUACAGAUAUCUCUUAUAAUUCUCAUUGUUAUGUUAAUUAUUGGUUUCGUCACAAGAAAACAGUCAACAGUUCCAGAAAAAGACACAGAAAAAUCACAAUUUGCUUACAAAAGUAUGAACUGACAUUCGUAGGACAUGGUAUUCACAAGAAGUGAGCGAAAAUAACUGCAACUGUAACAGAUUAUUCUCGCUUUUUUUUCAUGGAAAUAUACGAAAUUUCUACAUUCUAAGUUAUUUAUUAUUGUGGCAAUUCUAAAUGG